CCUGUACUUGGUGUUACUGCGACGGGGGGACGGAGAAGGCUAUGUUGGCCGGGCGACGGUUGUCCCGGUUUAAGCGUGUAGGUGUGUGUUCCAGGUAAAUCCGGUUCACUUUAACACUGAGGCGUGACGACGAGGCACUACGGUGCUGAAGCAACAAAUGCCCUGCUUCCAGGAAAAGCCUCUAAGCAUCAGGUAACAUCAAAUCGUACCCCAAACCGACACAGGUGGUCAGGUAGAGAAUAC
rnacentral:rRNA from 1 species